rnacentral:rRNA from 1 species
GUAGGUGGCAAGCGUUGUCCGGAAUUAUUGGGCGUAAAGCGCGCGCAGGCGGUUCUUUAAGUCUGAUGUGAAAGCCCACGGCUCAACCGUGGAGGGUCAUUGGAAACUGGAGAACUUGAGUACAGAAGAGGAAAGCGGAAUUCCACGUGUAGCGGUGAAAUGCGUAGAGAUGUGGAGGGACACCAGUGGCGAAGGCGGCUUUCUGGUCUGUAACUGACGCUGAGGCGCGAAAGCGUGGGGAGCAAACAGGGAUUAGAUACCCCGGUAGUCCACGCCGUAAACGAUGAGUGCUAAGUGUUAGGGGGUUUCCCGCCCCUUAGUGCUGCAGCUAACGCAUUAAGCACUCCGCCUGGGGGAUACGGCCGCAAGGCUG